UACCAGCUCUCCGAGUGGUAGGGAUGAUUAUUGGGCUUAAAGCGUCCGUAGCCGGCUUAGCAAGUCUCCUGUUAAAUUCAGCGACCUAAUCGUUGAGCCGCGGGAGAUACUACUAGGCUAGGAGGCGGGAGAGGUCAACGGUACUUCCGGGGUAGGGGUGAAAUCCUAUAAUCCCGGGAGGACCACCAGUGGCGAAGGCUGUUGACUAGAACGCGCUCGACGGUGAGGGACGAAAGCUGGGGGAGCGAACCGGAUUAGAUACCUGGGUAGUCCCAGCUGUAAACGAUGCGAGCUAGGUGUUGGGGUGGCUACGUGCCACUUCAGUGCCGCAGGGAAGCCAUUAAGCUCGCCGCCUGGGGAGUACGGCCGCAAGGCUGAAACUUAAAGGAAUUGGCGGGGAGCACCACAAGGCGUGAAGCUUGCGGUUC
rnacentral:rRNA from 1 species